CAGGAUUAAGGUAAGGCAAGUAAGGAGUGUCAAAAAACCCAGCAAUCAAGAUGAAUAGUAUAAUAAUAUAAUAUUCUAGCAAAUCAAAAUUAGUGCAAAAAAUCCCAAGUGAACAAAAGAAGAAAAUCAUACCAUAUACAAAUAUUAAUUCAAAAUGUAUCAAAAACCUAAAUGUAAGAGCUAAAAUGAUAAGUCUUAGAAGAGGUGCAGAUCUUCAUGACUUUGUAUUUGGCAGUGGUAUGUUACGUGUGCACCAAAACCCAUAAAUGACAGGCAAAAAAAUCGGUAAGUUGGAUUUUCUCAAAAUUAAAAACUUUCAUUAGUCAAAGGACACUAUUUUUUUUGACAAAGGACACUAUCAAUAUAGCGAAAAGAGAAAACAGAGAGAAAAUAUUUCCAAAUCAUAUAUUUGAUAAGGGACUUGUGUCUAGAAUAUAUAUAGAAUUCUUAAAACUCAACAAAAAAGACAGAUAUCAUAAUUAAAAAGUGAGUAAGAAUUGGAAUAGACAUUUCUCCAAAGAACGUAACACAGAUGGCCAAUAUUUGCCCUGUGCAGAACCCUGUACCAGUUACACAUACAUUAAAUAUCCAAGAUUCAGGGAGAUGGAGGGGAAUAAACCUUACCCUCAACAGUGACUCCACUCCUCCCUUAGUGAAAUUCAUCUUUGCCUCAGAGAAAAGGAGCCACGUGACAACAGAUAUUCAACAGGGAACAGUGAUAAUUGAAAGCAUUGCUGAGUUUAUUCCAACCAAAUAAAGCAACACACAGGUCAUCCUCACAAUAACUCAAGUGGCAAAAGCCAAAAACAAGGAUUUUUUGUUGUUUUAAUUACUAGUCACUGCCUGUAGCUUUCUCCCACAUCUCACUUCAGAAAAUGUGGGUUAACAAAUUGUAUGCAAAGAAACACAGGAAAAGAGAGAAAGGGAAAAUGAAGUUCAUCUAGUGUGCAGUUGAAGGUGUGUUAUCCAGUUUCUCUUCUGUAAGCUGCUCCAUCAGCAUGGUCCACUUCGAAUUACUUUAAUAUCAUGGCCAUCCUCCCUGCAAAUUGAGCAACCCCAUAAAAACACAUUUAUUAUUAAAUUUCCCCCUCUACCCCUCCUGAGUUUUUGUGGCUGGACUAAUAAUAAAAUGGACAUAAAACAGAUUAAAAGGAGGAAAAGAAACUUUAAUAAUGGCACACAGAGGUCUUACAGAAAUGGGGCCUAAUAAGUGGCCAAAGCGGGCAAGCUUCAUACUUUUUAGAAUAAGAAACAAUAAAUCUGUGAGGAAUUGACAGGGAAAGAAACUUAUGCUUUGGGUGCUUAACUAGUAAAGAAUCUAAACAGAGUUUUGGCUCAGGGUAGUAAAUUAAACUAACAAAGCUUGUUUAUACAGGCUUUUCAGCUCUGAAUUCUGUUAGGUGAUAAGAGUGUCCUCCCUCCAGAUGCAGGGAGUGAACCUUUCUUAGGAGAGAUUUAUUUCCUGCUCUCAGGGAGACGGAGAGGAGGGUCAAAAUGUCCCUCUUGCACUGGAUCUUUCUUAAGUAACUUUAAUUCAAAAUAAUUAAUAUGCCAUUGAGGCAUAUUUUGGGGUGCCCUUCCCUGGGCCUCAACAGUUACUUCCUUUGAAACUUCCCUGAAAGUUUCACAUAUUAAAAGUUGAGCUGAUAGUGUUUUCCAUCUCAUUGAACCAGUCUCUUAGACUUGACAAUAGGUCAGUUCAGUUAAACUUAUUUCUGGAGCUGGUAAUGCAGAUGGGUUCCCAAAGUCGGGUCUAUGGUGCAAGCAAUCAUGUAUUUAAUAAGAAGCAUAUCUAUGGAAACAAAAUAAAACAGAAGUUAAUGAUUGGAGCAGAUUGUAAGCCCACUUCUGAGCCCAGAGGGCAGUCAGUUAAGAUUUCUAGAUGUUAGAGUUGAAGGAUCUUUUGCAAUUUGAAAUAUCUGAUGAUGUCAUCAGGUGUUUAGGUAAACUUUCUGGCUCAUACAGCAACAGGCACAAAGGUUGUUUAAACAUGAGCUGUUGCAGCAAUUUCCCUUAAGUUUGUAUCAAGUUGUCUAGCUUCAGUUUGCAGAGCUUCAGGAAAAGAAGGGCAAUUUUAGUUCUCAGUGAUUCCAAAUCAAAAGAACAGGAGAAAUUUGGAAAAGUUAGUUUGGAGAGUCAUAGCUAGACACUAGAGAAUACUAGAAGAAUUGACGAUACAGUCUAGUUUACAGGUAAAUAACAAAAACCUCAAAGACGAUGAACAGAACUAGGAUCUGGUAUCUACAAGUGUGUAUCUUAGUUUCUGCCGAAACACAGUUUUUCUCUCUGUAAUUACCCACUGUUUUUACCAAAGGUAGCCAAAUUAGACUAAUUUGUUUGCAAAAGAAGUCUAGAUUCAAUAAACUUGGCCUGGUUGUUUACAUAAGUACGGUAAGAAUAGCAAUUGACCAUAUAGGCUGUUUUAAAUCUGCUUUGCUUGAACUUCUUAUAAGGAAUCUCAGAUUAAAUUUUCAAUAGCCUCUCAAGGCUAAGAAACAAAGCCACACAUUGACCAUCAGCCUUUGCCUGCAAUAGGCACGGAUUUGGGUGAAUUCCUCUCUUCACGAGGUCCCCAAAAUAUCCUCAGUGUCCUGGGCCUGCCAGGAAGUAACCUUCCUUACUCACCUAGUAAGGCUGCUGUGAACCCUGAAAGCUGUUUUUCUAAGGAGCUUUAUUGGCUCUGUAAAGUCAACCUUAGUUUCUCAAAGCUGUCUGGUCAUAUCUGAGUCUAUGCAUCUCUGUCAAAUAUGACAUUCCAGUCAAAGCUUUGAUAACAUGAUCAAUGUUUCCAUUUGUGUCCUGUUAUAAGGAGAACAGAUUCUUACUGAACGUAUGCAAAUAACUCUAUUGCCAAGAAAAUAAGAAUACUCACUGAUAGUUUCUGAAUUCUGGAGGAAUCCAGAAGAGAGAAAAAGAUAAAUGAUUCAAUUCUGCUUACAAAAGUAUAUUGUACCAAACUGCUCUAAGUCAUAGUAAGCGUAAGAGAAAAGAGAAAUGUUUUCCUUAAAUCUGGAGAAACAAAACAUUUAGGAGAAAAGCAAUGUUUCAAAUUUUAAAAAAUCAUAAAACAUUAUAAUUAUCUCCCUCAGUUUAUUUAGUCCUAUGUAAUUAAUUCUUGCUUCGCUUGAUCUUUUGUUAGAAAUUUUAUGAAGCCAUCAGUUUCUCUAUUAGAGUUCUGUGAAUUCUUACCCAGGUAUGAUUUGAAAGUCAUCAGAAACUUAUAUUCUAGCAUAUUUGUUAGAUUCCUUUCCAUGAAUUUCCCUGAAGAUAAAACACUUUUUUGCAGGAAUCUUUUGUAAAAGCAUCUGCAUGAAACAAUGACUGUGUAUAAAUGAUAAAAGACUUUAAAAUGUCCAUUAUUAAAGAUUUGAUUCAUUAUAAUGGAACUGAUAAUGAAGUUUGGUUAUCUCUGAGACAUAUCAUUUUAAGAUAAUAACUAGAACUAUGACUAACGUUAUACUAGGACAUAUCCAAAUUCUAGGAAUUUCAUGUAUUUUCUAUAACAUUUAUAUUAAUAAUACUUACCCAUACAGUAUAACAUAAGAAGGUUUAUCCUCCUUUAUUUCACAAUGCUUCCCAUUAUAAUUUAACCUACUAAAUAAGCUUGAUAAGUUUAAUAUCUCUGUUAUAAAUGAGAGAAAGUAAUUUUUUUGAGGUGUUCCAGGGACCCUCUGGAAAUCUCCAAAGUUAUUUCCAGGUCGGUAAGUCUUUUUUUGGGAAGUUUGUCAAAAAUACCAGAAGUUUUUAAAACACUUGGUCAAAUAGGAUCAUAGGUCACUGUGAAACAAUACUUAGCUGUCCAUUUAAUCAAAGUGACUAAGAUUUCCCUGGCAAAUACAGAAAGUUGAAUAGUUAUAAAAAGCCUUAGCUAUUUUAGUAUUGAAAAGACUUUGUUUUGUCUUCUAACUGAUUAAAAACCUGAUAAAGACAAAAUAUAGAAUCUUUGUUUUUCUAGACAGAUUAUAUUAAAGGUAAAGAAAUCCUUUUUUUUAUAAUUUCCUCUUAAGACCAGAGCAAUGUAAGAAAGCUUUGUUCUUUGAACAGAGAGAAAAACCAAAUUUAAUUUUGUACUAACUUACUUUUGAUAUUAAAACUCAUUUACUUAAUUAAAUUCCAAACUUAGCCAUUCCUGAUUCCACAUAAAAUUCCUUUCUAAAGAGUCCUUUUUUUACAAACCUUUUUAUAAUUUUCUAUGUGUGUGUGUGUGUGUGUAUAUACAUACACACAUACACAUACACAUACACAUACACAUACAUAUACAUAUACAUAUACAUAUACAUAUACAUAUACAUAUACCUCCCUUGUUUUCUUUCCCAUUUAGAAAUAACCAGCUUUAGGACAAAAUCAUUUUCUUUUUUUUCCUUAACAAAAGCACCUCCAUACCUUUACUUACCCCCAAACACAUCUUAUUUCUUUUAUUAUUUCUAGUACUUUUAAUUUUAGUAUAGUUAAUAUAUUAAUUGGAAUUCUUAAUCUUUUAAAAUCUUAAUUUGGGGGGAAAUAAAGAAGUAAAUAAUUGUGAACUGUAUUAAUAUUUUGUGGCUUAGCGAACUUAUAAACACAUGUUAUAAUUUCUAGAAAUAUAUUUUACUUUAUAGCAUAAUAUUUUCAGUAAAAUGGAAAAUAUAUGUACUAAUAGACCCAAACAUAUUUAGUUCCUCUGUAAUAAGACAUCAAAAGUAGGUAAACUUAGACUUGUUUAGUGAUUAAUGUUUCAGUAUUUUAUCUUAUUUGGGAUUUUUUGGGGGGGGGAGAUAAUUAGGUUUAUUUAUUUAUAUUUAAUGGAGAAACUGGGGAUUGAACCUAGGACCUUGUGCAUGCUAAGCUUGUGCUAUACCACUGAGCUAUACCUUCCCACUUAAUUAUCUUAUUUAGAAAUGAUAUAGACACCCAGUGAAUUCCCAUCAUUUAAUUUAACUUAGCAAAACUCUAAGGGUGUAAAUUAAAUUACCAAAGAGAAUUAGGAAACUAAGUAUACAAAUCAUAAGACAAUUGUUUUUGAAAAUCUCAGCUAAAAACUCUUACCUCAUUUACAUCUAGUUAAUUCAUUUGUUCUUAACAAUCGUACAUAGAUUACUCAUGAAAAUUUCAUGAGUCAACAAAGCAGUCAUUAUCUUAAGAUUUUUUCUUUCUUUCUUUCUUUUCUUUCUUCCUUUCUUCCCUUUCUUUCCUUUCUUUCUUUCUCUCUCUUUCUUCCUUCCUUCCUUUCUUCCCUUCUUUUUCUUUCUUUCCUUUCUUUCUUUCUCUCUCUUCCUUCCUUCCUUUCUUCCUUUCUUUCUUUGUGACAGAGACAACAUAAACCCACUAGACAAGUAAACUCAAGUAGAACAAAAUUUUUUAUCUGCAUUAUAUUGAAUACUGAUAACUCUGAAGACAUCCAAAUACUGAUUAAAUGAACGAGCUCAAAAUUAGUUUUUAUUUCCUAAAGAUUAUCCUAGAACUUGAAAAACAUUUGGUUUAGUUUUUAUUAUAUUUUAAUGUAAGUUCUUGUAAACAAACAAUUUGUUUAAACAAAAAACAAUUAAAUAGAGCUCUUCUACAAGUUAAUUUUGGCAGUACCAUCUAGAGGCAGAAGAACAUCCAUAGCAUAGCCAUACAGACAUAUACAUAACCAGAGUUUUUUUGGUUUUCAUUUUAAAACUUUAGUCAUGAAAAAACAACAACAAAAAACUUUAGUCAUGAAUCAGGUACAAUACAAAACUCACUAGUUUAUAAACAAAGUUGUAAUGAAUCAAGUUUACUUGUUCAGAUGGCUAACGUUUAUUAUUUAUGGAGAAGACUUAAGAUCUGUAUUUGCCUUAGACAAGCAAUUGUAGAGAGGUUGUAAUUUCCUAGAAUUUGGGCAAAAGAAUCCUUUUAGCAGUCUAUGUUUUAAAAGGCCCCUUUCCCUUUUUUUUGGUUUCAAAUUCUAUCAAUUCAGCUAAUCUAGGCUCAGUCUUAAGCAAGGUGGGCUAUGUUGAUAUUUCAAAGACAUAAUAAGAUUUAUAGCUUUAAGGGACAGAGAAAGAAAAUGUAACUUUUCUCCUAGGAGUUUUGGAGUAUAUUUAUUUGUCUAUUAUCAUAAGCCUUAGGAUAAUUAUUAUUUUAAAACAAUUUUUAAAGUAUAGGAUAAUUUUGCUCCAAUAUUCUGAUCUUUUAUAAUAUCUAGAAGCAUUUUGAGAGGAAUAGGCAAGGUUUGGGGAUUGGUAAAGAUAAGUGGGCUUUGGUUUGUUGUGUUUCUGGUUUUGUAGAGGUUUGGAAGCAAAAACAGUUGUUUUGGUUAGCCCUUGAAUAUUGGUUUCCAGUUGAUCUGUUUCCUCUUUAUUUGUAGGCGAGCUUGGAGAAUUACUGAAGAGAUGGGCAAUUUUUUUUUUUUUAGAAGGGGAAUUUAUGUUGGUCUUACACUUUAUUUUUUCCUUUUAAUUUGAUCUUCUGGUAAGUACCAAUACAACAGUUGUUUAUGAUGAGAAUUCUCAAAAGUGUUUUCCUCUUAAAUAUAGCCAAUUUAAAGGAUUCUUUGUCUGGCCAUUGACUAGUAGGAUCUUUAAUAUUAAUUUAAAUAGUGACCCAAACCAAUCAGCCUUUCUUAAGGCUUAACCAAAGACACAAGAGUCAUCUCACAAGAGUAUAUAGCCCUCACAUGAUCCAGAAAGUUCACUCCCAUGGUCAGUCAAAGAAAGUAAGGCAACAAAGUUUGAGACAACACCAGCUCCUUAUGAACUGGGACCCCUUAAGACCAACCACCCUGAGAGCUGGCAUGGCCAAACAGAGUGCUAACUUUGUGUCUAAGCACCCCGGUCUAUUCAACGGGCUACCAAAUGUACCUUCCAAAUGGCAUAGACCAGGGAGAAUAUUCUCACUGGACACAAAGCCAAGCUCUCAAGACAUGAAACAAAAUGGAAGGAAGAACCUCAUCUGGUUUUUACAUAGAAAAGCCACAGCAAACUUUGUCUAAAUAGAUGCAGGUCUAGUGUGAACCAUCAACUCGCUAGUCUGUGAGACUGGCUCAGACAGUAGGUUUAUAGGGCCUGUGCCUGCAUUCUGCCCUAUGGUUCUUCCUCCUUAUGGCAAACAACACGAUAGACAGAGACUAAGAAAAACAGUGACCAUCUCUAGGAAGAAAAGAAUUCUCAAGAGUUGCUAAGUUUAAGGAACUGGCUCAACAAAUGUUUUCUCCUGCUAAUCUAAAUUUAGAGAGGGAGGAAAGGGACUCUCUCCACUUUACCUUCCACAAGACCUUGCAGGCAGAGAUCUAGGAUGCUGAUGUGGUAAGAAAUCUUAACUUCUGCUGAUCUUUAUCAGAUGUCCCAGGAACUCUCAGCUGCAGUAGCCUCAGGAUGGAAAGUGAGCUCCAGCCAGUCUCCUGGCUGGCUCACCAGCUGCUGGGGUAGAAGAAAUACCCCCUCGACUCUCUUGAAUUCUUGUGGCUAGACUAAUAAUAAAACGGACACAAGACAGGCUAACAGGAGAAAAAGAACCAAAUUUUUAUUCGUGUACGCAGAGGUCUCCUUGAAAUGAGACCUAGUAAGUGACCAAAGCAGGCAGCUUUUAUAUUUUUGAGACGAAAAACCAAUAAAAUUGUGAGGAAUUGACAAGACAAACUUUUUUUUGGGGUGCUUAAUUAGUAAAGAAUCUCAACAGAGUUUCAGCUCCAGGUAGUAAAUAAAUGAAGUAACAAGGUUUGUUUAUCCAAGCUUUUCGGUUCUGAACUCCCUAUCUCUGGUGAUAAGACUGUCCUUCUACCUUCAGAUGAAAGGAGUGCACCUUUCACAAGAGAUUAAUUUCUUUCUUUCAGGCAAACAGAGAGGAGAGUCAGUGUCCCUUUUGCAUUGGCUUGGUCUUAAGUAACUUUAAUUCAAAAUAAUUAAUGUGCAGUUGAGGCACAUAUGGGGGCCCUGCUCAGGGCCACCAUAUUACAAUGUUACCUGCCAUAUUGAAACUGUUCCACUAUUUGUAUUAACAGACUCAUGUCAUUAUCAUUAGAUUCUUCCAGGGUGAUGCUUACUUAAUCAUUUUUAAAGCUGAAUCCAGGAAACAGUGAGGGUGAAAGCCCAACUCUACCAUGUUUCCAUCACCCCAGGGCAUAGGGAGCUACCCCCGAAGUCACUCAGAGAGGGCCUAGUAACUCAUCGAGGUCAGAGAACCGAGCCCUGAAACACAAAGCAGCUCACCUGGAGGAGGAGUCACGGCCAUCUGAGCUGGUCAGGUGUGCUACGUGGGAGGACAUCAGGCCAUUUAAAUCAAGUAUGACUUGAUGAACUCAGCUCAGGAAUGACAAUUCCAAGAUUAUGAGAUAAAAUUCCAUAGACAUUUCUUGAAAGACUACAACUUGUUUGUACUGUUCUAUCUAAUGUAAAGUUGUAAAACUAUCAAUUUCCAAGUUGCCAUCCAUGCCAACUCCACAUGCCAUUUCCUUUUAUCUGUUACUCUGAUGUGUUUGAAGAAACAUCCAAGCAUCAUAUCAUGAAUGACCUUCCCUCCUACCUCCAGAGGCAAAGAUGUAACCUUUCCAGGCAUUGGCCAAUUCCGGUGUGAUAAAUAAAAUUAUCUUUAAAAUUGGAGUAUGACGUCACCACAUAGUAUGAUGGAAACAAAGAUAUAGCCAGUGCCCAUUUAUUCAGAAUGACAGGAAACUGUAUAACUGGAUAGUCUGAUUAGGUCCAUCUAUGUUGCUGCAAAUGGCAUUAUUUUACUCUUUUUAUGGAACCUGUCAUGAUGUUGAAAGCACCUAAUGUGAAUUGACAGGAAUAACUCCUAGAACAAUGAAGAAUCCCAAUUACAUGACUGAGGGAAAAGUACAAAAUAGACAGGAGCUGCUCACAUAGAUCCCACCAAAGCUGGGCUGGUAAAUCAGAUCCAGGCAAAAGAGGAAAC